rnacentral:tRNA from 1 species
GCCGAGGUGGUGAAAGGGCAAACACGCCGGUCUUAGGAACCGGUGCCCGCAAGGGCUUGCGAGUUCAACUCUCGCCCUCGGCA